UGGGUUUGAGAGGUUGAGGGUUUCUGGAAACAGGAGGUGUUUCCUGAAAUUGUGCCAGUUUUCAGAAAAAGAAAAGAUGACCACUGCCACAAAGAUGAAUUAUGCAUACCUGGAUCACCAGAAGGGUGGAACUACAAGAUACAGAGACUUCAAAAGGACCUUUGAGAUCUUCUCCUUCAAUCCCCUAAUUUUAUACAUGAGGAAGCAAAGGCCCUGAGAGAUGAUAAAUCUUACCUGAUGUCACCCAGGUUGUAGUCACCAUCUGCAGUGAUCUUUGAGUCCAAGAAUAUAAAACACUGCUUCCAUUUCUACUUCCUCUAUUUGCCAGCAAGUGAUGGGACCAGUUGCCAAGAUCCUACUUUUGUUUAGGUUAAGCCUCUGGUCAGCUUUUGCAAUCUUCUCUUUUAUCCUCAUAAAAUGUUUCUUUUUUAAUUAUUGUUUUUUCAAAUAAUAUGUCAAAGUUUUUAAUAAUAUUUUUCUGACAUUUUUUGAUUUAUGUUCUCUCCCUUUUUUUCUCCUACCCCCUUCCCAAGAUGGCAGGUAAUAUGAUAUAAAUUUUACAUGUGUAUCAGAGAGUAUAUAUUUCCAUGUUUGUCAUGUUGGGAAAGAUGAUACAUAUUGCUUAAUACUAGAAAAAAAUCUUGGAGUAAAUAAAGUAAAAAAUGGUAUGCUUCA
rnacentral:lncRNA from 1 species